rnacentral:rRNA from 1 species
UGAGGAAUAUUGGUCAAUGGACGCAAGUCUGAACCAGCCAAGUAGCGUGCAGGAUGACGGCCCUAUGGGUUGUAAACUGCUUUUAUAUGGGGAUAAAGUGGGGAACGUGUUCCCUUUUGCAGGUACCAUAUGAAUAAGGACCGGCUAAUUCCGUGCCAGCAGCCGCGGUAAUACGGAAGGUUCGGGCGUUAUCCGGAUUUAUUGGGUUUAAAGGGAGCGUAGGCCGUUUGGUAAGCGUGUUGUGAAAUGUAGACGCCCAACGUCUGCAUCGCAGCGCGAACUGGGACGCUUGAGUACGCGCAACGUUGGCGGAAUUCGUCGUGUAGCGGUGAAAUGCUUAGAUAUGACGAGGAACUCCGAUUGCGAAGGCAGCUGACGGGAGCGGCACUGACGCUUAAGCUCGAAGGUGCGGGUAUCAAACAGG